GACACUUUGGCCGAGUGGUUAAGGCGCAGGCCUGCUAAGCCUGUGGGUUCGCCCGCCUGGUAUGUUCUACAACACUUGCCAACCGCAAAUAUUAGUGUCUAACAAUCUAUAACAGGGUUCGAAUCCCAGAGGUGUCG